CAGUCGCCGCGGGAAUACGGAGGGGGCUAGCGUUGUUCGGAAUUACUGGGCGUAAAGCGUACGUAGGCGGCUUUGUAAGUUAGAGGUGAAAGCCUGGUGCUCAACACCAGAACUGCCUUUAAGACUGCAUCGCUCGAACGUCGGAGAGGUGAGUGGAAUUCCGAGUGUAGAGGUGAAAUUCGUAGAUAUUCGGAAGAACACCAGUGGCGAAGGCGGCUCACUGGACGACUGUUGACGCUGAGGUACGAAAGCGUGGGGAGCAAACAGGAUUAGAUACCCCGGUAGUCCCUGUCUCUUAUAC
rnacentral:rRNA from 1 species